GGCUGUUAAUCGGCGUGUUUAAUUAAGCGGAGUGGACGUUGUUUUUAAAAAGAUCUCGCUGUGUCUGUACAGUCUGCGUGGACGCGUGUGUAGCUCCCUCCCGGCUGUGUGAAUACGGACACAGACACGAUCUGAUAAGAAAG